CGCCCACAGCAAAUAUUUUGGGUCCAACCUGCCCAGUGAAUUUUUUAACGGCCGCAGUACCCUGACUGUGCGAAGGUAGCAUAAUAAUUUGUCUUAUAAUUGAAGACUAGAAUGAACGGUUAAAUGUAAAUAAAACUGUCUCUUAUGCAACACUAAAAAUUAAUCUACUGGUUCAAAAGCCAGUAUCAAAUUAAUAGACGAGAAGACCCUAUUGAGCUUAAUUUUCAUUUAUGCUAAUUCAACUAGCCCAUAAAACAAAAUUUUGUUGGGGCGACAAAGGAAAUUACCUAGCUUCCUUUAAAAUUACUAUACCAAAAUUAAAUCGAUCCGCUAAUAACGACCAAAUAACAAGUUACCAUAGGGAUAACAGCAUAAUUCUUUUUAAGAGCCCGAAUCGAAAAAAGAGUUUGUGACCUCGAUGUUGGACUAAGGUAAUCAGAGAGCGCAACCGUUCUCUCAAAUAGUCUGUUCGACUAAUAAUUCCUU
rnacentral:rRNA from 1 species